CAGGGGAGCUGAAAAGCAGCUUCCUCAUGUUCGGCAGAAGUCAGCAGAAGCCAUAGUAGUCGGCCUGACCAGCCGAUGAAGGGC
rfam:Geobacter metallireducens GS-15, complete genome.